rnacentral:rRNA from 1 species
UACGUAUGGGGCAAGCGUUAUCCGGAAUUAUUGGGCGUAAAGAGUGCGUAGGUGGUUACCUAAGCGCAAGGUUUAAUCUUGAGGCUCAACCUCAUUCUGCCUUGCGAACUGGGCUACUUGAGUGCAGGAGGGGAAAGCGGAAUUCCUAGUGUAGCGGUGAAAUGCGUAGAUAUUACACAGAACACCAAUUGCGUAGGCAGCUUACUGAGCCGACACUGACGCUGAGGCACGAAAGCGUGGGGAUCAAACAGGAUUAGAUACCCCGGUA